rnacentral:lncRNA from 1 species
CCCUAAACGCAAGGUUAGAGAAUUAAAGGUUUGCCUCAUUAGUGUCAACGGCGACCGCAUGAAGGGAUCAGACAUCCUGCAGACUCCAGUUGCAUGGAACUGCAUUUCUGAACCCACUGUCCCUUAGUAUCACUAAGCAGCAACACUGUAAGCUGACUUUCAAGAGUUCAGCACUGGGCAAUUCCCCACUGACACUGAUGGGAAAAUGAGACUGCCCUACAGUUCACUUAAAAAGCCCACUCCAUGGAGAUUGGAUCCAGGCAGAGUACUUGUACAACCCCACGGAUGACAGCCAGGUAUCCGUUUUCCUGCUUUGGAGUGAUAUUUUCUGCCUAGCACGGAGAGUUGUGGUGGAACUAGCAACAUGUCUCUGAAGAGAUCGGUGACAAUGACAGCUUCUGUACAUUGAGUUUCACAGCCCUUUUCAGCUGAGAUAGUACUUCAUUUAUUUUUAAUCUAAGGAGCUACAGUGUUGACAGAGUGAUGAAAAUUGGCUAACUUGUUGUUUUCCCCCAUUUUGUUUGCUUGAUUACAUGUGCAGGACUGUGUCCAUGCAAGGUUUUGGUUUGAGGCAGAAGCUUCACAAACUUUCUUCUAACACUUAGGAGCAGGCAGUGACUCCAGGCUGAGCAGCAAGGAGUUCUCCAUCCCAAAACAAGGGCAACUCAAGAGCAAGAAGGAAUCUUCAUGACAGAGAGAUGUGGGAACAUCAUCCUCCAAAGAACCCUGCUUUGGGGUUUGGUCUAUCAUUUAAUUACAAGAGGGAGCUAUCACUGAAGCCACCAGGCACCGAAUUGGGAUAUUCAUAGUCACCUGAAGAAGGCUUGUGGCACUUCAUCUAGAGCUGGUUUUAUCCAUAUUUGGCACAUGGAAGCAGGAAACGACUGGAGGCACCCCAUACACCUUCCUGCUCCUUCUGCUGCCCUGUCCUCAGCUCUGAGCAGAAGGAUCCCAACUUCCGUAACCCAACACAGAGACCAGUCAAAAGGAGUUCCAUCCCCUGCACUGAAUUAAUAAAUGGCAGACUCUGUACAUAAGUGGUAACUCUGGCAAAACAGCGUGCUUCUGCAAUUGAAUGUUGGGGUCUUCUUGGUUUGGUCAAGCAAGCCUGAAUCAUUUCACAGAAACCAGGGGCCACUGUUGGAACAGAACUUCUCAUAGUUCAGGUAAGGAGCUGCAUAACCCAUUAUGGUGAUGUUCCCUAUGGAAAUAAGCUCUGUUACCAUGCCAUCUGCACCUGACUGCUGGCAGUUCUCUUCUGUCCAUAGCUUAUGUCAUGGUUAAGCUCAGCCACGUGCCAGAGGGGUCCGUGACUCAGGU